GUUUGGGUUUGGGUUUGGAUUUGGAUUUGGACCCGCCGCCGAUUUGUUUGGUCUGGAUCCGCCGCCGCCGGCGACGGCUGCGGCGGACCGGAUCCGUUCAGUCUUCGGGGCGCGCCGUCUAGAUCCGCCGCCCCCCCUCUCUCGUUCCCCUCAUCCACAACCCCCUCCGCGCCGUACCUCGGCGUCGCCACCGACCCCUCGACCGCGCUACAACGCCACGGCCCCCGCCGCGCCGUACCUCGGCGUCGCCGCCGACUCCUCGACCGCGCUCCGACCCCACGGCCCCCGCUCUCCCUCGCCGGGACAUCGCGUUCCGUGCUGCUGCGACUCCGCCCGGCCCCAGUUGCCGGCCGUUGGGCUCUGAGGUCACUCUUGCAAAAGGCGGCCGCCGCCUUGGAUGACGGCAACAACGACCUGUCAGGCAGCUCCACUCGCCCUCCCCCACUGCGGCAAGAGCAGCACCGGCCACAAGGCCGCGCCCUCCAAGUCCAGCAAGGCGGACGGGUUGAGUGAUAUCCCAAAGAACCUCAGGGAGCUGCUCACCACCAGCUUGCUCGAGGGCCAGCCCGUCAACUACAUGAGGAAAGGGAAGUGACCAGUACUCCGUGGAGUCAUUAAAGGCUUAGGCAUAUCGUGCUCUUGCACUUCAUGUAAAGGCCGAAAUGUUGUUUCAUCUUUUUAUUUCGAGGUGCCUGCUGGGAGUCAUAAAAAGCGCCCCACUGAUUAUAUUUUCCUGGAAAUUGGAAAUACUCUGCAUGAUGUAUUGAGGGUGUGCACAGGUGCUACCUUAGACACACUGGAAUCUGCAGUACAGGGAGCAAUAGGCCCAGUGCCUAAGAAGAGGACAUUUUUCUGGUUCUUCAUGUUAGCAAUGGCUAUUUCCAUUUAAGUUCCCUUGGCUUCUUCAUUCUUGCUGUGAAGUAAUGACAGAAACAGUUGUUUGAGGGUUGGCCUGUUGAUUGUGUAACCAAUGAUACAUCCAAGUUAUGAGUGGUAUUGGCUCUGAGGGUUGGCAUUUGUGCAGGAAUCAUUUGAUCUAUUAUCCAAGCUACGACCGGGCGAGACCUUAUUCCAGCCAUGGUCUACGGGAGGAGCGUAAGGGAUCAAGAUUAAUAAGGGAUGUACUGAAGCGUAGGAUCUUCUCAGGGCUCCAGAAUUUUGACCGGAGUAAUGUUGCAUCUAUUGUCAUGGCUGCAGAUAAGUGCCUCGUGGGCGGAGCACCUUCAGCACGUCGCCAUCGUCUUCAACGAGCUUCGAGCGCGCCAUCUUCACCUUAAGCGCUCGAAGUGCUCGUUCGGCACGCCUUCGGUCGCCUACCUCGGCCACGUCAUCUUGGCCGAGGGUGUCGCUAUGGAUGCCGACAAGGUGGCGGUUGUCGUGUCCUGGCCGAUGCCGCACUCGCCGCGGGCACUACGAGGCUUCCUGGGCCUCGCGGGGUACUACCGAAAAUUCAUCUGGGAGUUUGGCCUCAUCGCAUCCCCGCUCACGCGCCUGUUGCGCCGCGACGCCUUCGCCUGGGAUGCUGAGGCGACCGAGGCGUUCGAGGGCCUCAAGCGGGCUCUCACUAAGGGUCCGGUCCUCCAGAUGCCCGACUUCGACAAGCCGUUCAUGGUGGACUGCGACGCCUCAGGCGUGGGGUCUGGCGCCGUCCUUCAUCAGGGUGACGGGCCGCUUGCGUUCUUCAGCAGGCCCUUCGCCGUGCGCCAUCAUAAGCUCACGGCCUAUCAGAUGGAGCUCAUUGGCUUGGUGCAGGGCGUGCGCCACUAGUGGUCGUAUCUCUGGGGGAGGCCGUUCCGUAUCCACAUGGAUCACUACAGCCUCAAGUUCUUAUUGGACCAGAGGCUCUCCACCGUGCCGCAGCAUCAGUUGAUCAGCAAACUCUUUGGCUUCGACUUCACUGUCGAGUAUCGCCCGAGUCGCCUCAACAACGUGGCCGAUGCCCUGUCCCGCCGCGACCCCGACCCUGACUCGGACGCCAUCUCCCCCGCGGGGGCGGCCCUCUGCAUCCGUUCGGGGCCCUCCUUCGCCCUCAUUGACGACAUCCGCCGGCAUUAGAGCACCUGUGACACAGCCUGAUGUUCAGAAUCUUAAGAUGGCCUUGUCUUCUAUCACGAAUGGCACUGAAUUAGAGAAUGUUCUGGACAAAUCAAGCAGCGCAGCAGCAAACACAGUAAAGAAGAAAGGCCAGAAAAUUAAUAACCAUCCAGGAAAUUGCAUUGAAAAGGGUCUGACAAAGAAGCAGAAAGUGCACUCCGAAGAGCCUACAGUGCAAUAUGGUUUGAUAGAUGAUCUUGUCAAGUCUGGAAAUGCUAUUUCAGGGCUUGGAGGCUCCUCCAAACAUUAUCAUGUCUGAAAUGGGCAGCCAAGCUCCAGCCUAUAAAGCUUACAUGGGGACUGACUUUUCAAAUCCUAUGGGGACAAUCAACUAUGAAGAGAUGCACUCUGUCGCAAGCCUGGGUUUCACUCUGGAACUAGGCUUUGUCGCCUGUCAUGCUACUCAGGCGUCUAGUGACAUCCAACAAUAUGUCUAAAAUAAAUUAUACAGUGAUAUGUAGUUACCUCUUGACCCUGCCAUGUUUAUUUCCUUCUUUUGCGUAAAGGCCUAGUAGAAAUCUGAAAGCUCUCUCUUCGGAGCACAAUGAAUGAGAAUGGAAAUCCGUAUAAGGCAAUGAGAAGCUGUAUAUGGAGCACAAUCCAUGGGAUUGAAGGCUUCUUAUGAUGUCUACACAUUGUCCAUCAACUGUAUAUGGCAAUUAGAAGCUGCACAGAUGGGCUUAUACUUAAUUGCUUUCUCCCUGUGUCAAGACAUGCCAUUGUGUAUCUUCUCUGAUUGUUGAAAAUGGCUUCAUGUGCAGGUACUCUACAUAUGAUUUGAAAAUCGUUGCGCCUCGAUGAUU